AAUAUCUCUUAAAGACAACGUACACAGUUUAAGAAAUAUAACAUUUCAUUCUAAAACUUGUAAUAUUUGCCCAUAACAGUAUGGUAUGCCAUGAUGGGGUUAUUUCACAUUCCUGGGCUACCAUAUGGUCUCAAAAGGUAACACAGACCCAGCAAACCAAUCUGGCAAACUGAAAUGGGCAAGCCCUAUAUUGAGCCUGUACCUUUUCAAAACACCAUAAAACCUGUACAUGGGGGGGUAUUGUUAUACUUGGGAGACUUUGCGAAACACAAAUAUGAGUGUUUAAAACAGUAAAACCUAUCACAAUGAUGAAAUCACCAGUAAAAGUGCAGUUUUUGUGUAAAAAAAAAUGCAAAAAACAAAUAUGAACACUAACUUUGGCAAGCGUUUGUGGCUACUACAAAAGACUAGACAUAACCCAUUUUGAAUACCGUGGAUUGUCUACUUUUACAAAUGGUAUGCCAUGAUGGGGUUAAUUUUCAUUCCUUGGUUGCUAUACGGUCUCAAAGGCAACAUAGGCCCAGCAAGCCAAUCUGGCAAAUUUCAAUGUGCCAACAUGGAAAAGGGGAAAGCCCUACAUUUGACCCCUGUAAGUUUGCAAAAACCCAUAGAACCUGUACAUUGGGGGCACUGUUGUACUCGGGAGAUGUUGCUGAAGUUGGAAAACUGGAAUGUGCAAAGGUGUUCUUUGUCAGUAACACAUAACAGGAACUGAGAAUCCAUGCCUAAAUUACAAUGUGAGAGAAAAAU